rnacentral:rRNA from 1 species
GAUGAACGCUGGCGGCGUGCCUAAUACAUGCAAGUCGAGCGAACGGACGAGAAGCUUGCUUCUCUGAUGUUAGCGGCGGACGGGUGAGUAACACGUGGAUAACCUACCUAUCAGACUGGGAUAACUUCGGGAAACCGGAGCUAAUACCGGAUAAUAUUUUGAACCGCAUGGUUCAAAAGUGAAAGACGGUCUUGCUGUCACUUAUAGAUGGAUCCGCGCUGCAUUAGCUAGUUGGUAAGGUAACGGCUUACCAAGGCAACGAUGCAUGGCCGACCUGAGAGGGUGAUAGGCCACACUGGAACUGAGACACGGUCCAGGCUCCUACGGGAGGCAGCAGUAGGGAAUCUUACGCAAUGGGCGAAAGCCUGACGGAGCAACGCCGCGUGAGUGAUGAAGGUCUUCGGAUCGUAAAACUCUGUUAUUAGUGAAGAACAUAUGUGUAAGUAACUGUGCACAUCUUGACGGUACCUAAUCAGAAAGCCACGGCUAACUACGUG